GAUGAACGCUGGCGGCGUGCCUAAUACAUGCAAGUCGAGCGAACAGACAAGGAGCUUGCUCCUCUGACGUUAGCGGCGGACGGGUGAGUAACACGUGGAUAACCUACCUAUAAGACUGGGAUAACUUCGGGAAACCGGAGCUAAUACCGGAUAAUAUAUUGAACCGCAUGGUUCAAUAGUGAAAGACGGUUUUGCUGUCACUUAUAGAUGGAUCCGCGCCGCAUUAGCUAGUUGGUAAGGUAACGGCUUACCAAGGCAACGAUGCGUAGCCGACCUGAGAGGGUGAUCGGCCACACUGGAACUGAGACACGGUCCAGACUCCUACGGGAGGCAGCAGUAGGGAAUCUUCCGCAAUGGGCGAAAGCCUGACGGAGCAACGCCGCGUGAGUGAUGAAGGUCUUCAGAUCGUAAAACUCUGUUAUUAGGGAAGAACAAAUGUGUAAGUAACUAUGCACGUCUUGACGGUACCUAAUCAGAAAGCCACGGCUAACUACGUG
rnacentral:rRNA from 1 species